rnacentral:misc_RNA from 1 species
AACGGUCUAUACCUGCGGUACCUGCGGAGGGAUCAUUACUGAGUUUCACAACUCUCUAACCCUGUGUGAACUGAAGUCUGGUUGCUCAGGCAGGCGGCCCCCGGGGGGAGCCGCAGCUUCUCUGAAGCGCCUGCCGGAGGAUACCUAAACUCGUUUUAACAUAUAAUCUUCUGAGUAAUAAAAAAAAUGAAUCAAAACUUUCAGCAACGGAUCUCU